GCCGGUUGGUCGGAUGAAGGGCAGCUGGGCGAAGGAGUCUACGGCGCCCAUGAAAUCGCGCGCCUCAAGCUCGCUCAUUUUUCAGACUGCUGUCGCUUCCUGUUCGAUCAAUUGCCUCAGUAGAAUUCAGCAGUAAGUUUAGCUCACUGAGAUGCUGGCGUUUGAUAUCUCACUCUCACCUGUAGUUCGGAGGAUGAUGGCGCUGUAAGGUGUUCUGUCUAUUAAGAAGACUGGGAGUGAGGUAGAGAGAGAGAAAUAUCGACAAAUGAAGCUGAUCCCAUCUUUUGAUAGCAGUACUGUCUAUAGAUGCAGUAGCUGUUUUCUUCUGCUGGUGGUUGAGUUGAGUCACUGAAUCGGUCUGGUGGUGGAGCUGGCUUUUGGCUUGUUAAACACCAACCAAGUACCACAACGAGGCUACAGCAUCACCUCUCCAUGGCCAAUCUGCUCUUCUUUUUUAUUCUGUUACUUCAAUUUUCUACUUUACAACUUUGGCUUUCAUGCAUGUGUAAGAAACCAGCAGACAUCAGUGGAGGAGUAGACAAGUACGUGACCACCUCUGCUUCUUUCUCUCUCUCUGAGGUUGUGUUUACCCUCGCUUCAGUAUGUGAUACAACUCCAUUAGGUACUCUCUUUAAUCGAUACCUGUUGCCUCUUUAUAUCUGGUGGCUGGAUGCUGCAGAGCAAGGAAAGUGGUCCUGGAGAAAGAAAGUUUAUGGAGAUUUCAUGGAGAUGGUGCAUUCGAUGGUCAAGUUGAGCUGAAUUAUUUAUGUCAUCGACAAGGUCCCAAUUUGUGCAGCACAAGGACAUGAGUAGGACACGGAGACGCUGAAACACCCACAUUUCUUUCUAUUCAUGUUGCUGUGUGAAUUUUUACAAAAAAAUGUGACCCGAUGUUCAUCGCCAUUUGCUCCAAGGCAACUUACACAAAAUGCCUGACACCCAAAGAAAUUACUUGAUGGAUGAAACAAAGAUAAAGGUGCUGGUGGAUCAGUUGAAUAUACCUUCUGACAUAAUCAACUCUUCAGUUUGCCCCA